rnacentral:lncRNA from 1 species
CUGACGCGCCGCAAGGAAACCUGCGCUACUUCCCGCACCAGCGACAGAGCCGCCGACAAGGAAGACUCUCGGCUGGAUCCCGCCCAGGUUCCCCCAGCGCUGUGUUACCUCCGGGAGAGGCGCAGCCCCGAGCUCCGCUCCCACGCGGCCCCCCACGGUCGGGCGGGGCAGCCCGCAGACAGAGCCGCACUACGUCUGGGGGAGCAACGGGCAAGGGAAAGAGUUCCCGAUCUGUUCCGACAGCGUGAAACAACUUCUCUCCAUCUGCCACACACUCAAAGCGAUGGGUCGGAGCCGACCCGCAGCUCCCCGCUCGCAGUGCAUCCUCCAGGCCCUAACGGGGUCGCACCCCGCCGCUCGCCCCGCACCGUCCCGCACACAGCUCGGGCCGCGCCGGCGGGCAAGACGGGAGGGAGGCGGCGGCGCCCAAAGAGCGCCCAACCCGCCCGACGGCCCCGUGCGAGACAGCACCCUGCAGCGCUGCCUUCGAACAUCUCCACCACGUGUGCCACGCCUCUCCCGGCCGCCGCCAGCACCUGCAGCCCUCCGCCUCUCGGCGUGCGCGACCACUCUUCGUUCCGAGGACUGAUAAAAGGCGCCUCUGUUAAGAACGCCCUCAGCACCCCGGCAUCGCCGGAGGGACGGUCCCUCCGCGAGGGGAUCGGAGGUGAACGAUGGGGAGAGGACCGCGGCCGGGGGAUGAGCGCUGCGGGGGGCAACGUGGUGGCAACGUGGUGGCAAAGGGCAAAGCGGGGAGAUCCGCGUGUUGAGAGGAAGCCGGGUUCGGGGGCCGGGAGCGGCCGGGGAGCAAUGACGGAGACAGGAGAGAGGAAGGGGAACCUCACAACCGCGAACUCGUGGCAGGGGUCGCGGGAGGGUCGCGGAAACCUAGGAACCCGUCCCGUCCCGUCCCGUCCCGUCCCAUCCCAUCCCAUCCCAUCCCAUCCCCAGAGUGGAACCCGGGGGUCACUCACGCACCUCCCGCUCUCCCCGCGGUCCGGCGCUACUCACGCGGCAGCUGCACAGCCUCACCUGUCCCCACCGCGCCGGGCAAUAACUGCGGGGCCACCGCGGCCGCCCCCGACUCGGAGCGCGGAUGGACACGCCCACCGCCAAACACGCCCACCGGGCACGCCCCGCGCUCCAUCCCCUCCCCUGGCGCGGCACUGA